rnacentral:lncRNA from 1 species
CACUUUUACCUGUGAAAAAUUCGUAAUUUCUUAUCUCUGAAGAAGCCGACACUAAUUAUUUUACUUGUUACCUUAAUGAUUAGCCGUUGAUAAGCAAUUGAAAUGUAUGCUGACUUUAAAGGCACCGUUUAUGCGACGAGCUCACUGAGUUAUCAAAUAGUUUGAUAAAAUUUACUUUCAGUUUCACUUUGCCUUACUAUAUGUGGUAUUUAAUUUUUAUGGAAAGUUUCUUCAAUGGCCAAACAUUUCAUCCAUUUCAUUCCUUAAUUAGCUUCAAAAUUAAAGAAGGCUAUCCCAUACAGAUUGUAUUGAUAAUUGAUCAGAAAAAGAGAGAAGAUAUGAAAAAAUAUGACAUUGAAUUAACUGAUGAAAAAAAGAGUUAGCAUGCAGACAUCAAUUGAUGUAAAUGAUGAGUAAUCGGAAAGGUUUGAAGUGUUUCCGACAUGACAGCUACUUGAGCAUGAAGGUCAGAGAGUGAUGCCUGCAUAGAAACAACAGUUGUCCGCAAUCUUUUGCUUGCAUACGUUACCACUUAGUGAUGUUGAGUAGGACUUUGACAAAACACUUGCAGCAUAGAGGUUACCAGUAUAUUUUCGUUUUAAGGCUGUAACAGAAAAUGAAAUUGAAAUUGGGAAAAGGUCUUCUUUGUAACUGCUACAGGUCCUGACAGUAACAGAAUCUGUCUCGACUUUUUUCACAGAAUAUGGAACUGACACAUCCGCAGUGACAGUUAACAAUGCUUGCGUCAACAGUCUAAGACUAGGAAACAGAACAAAGAAAGCUCAGAGGACUUCCAGUUCAUGCAGCAUGAAGUUGAGCCCAGUCCCAGAAAUGCAAACCUUGCCAUUGGUCAAUUUCAAAUUUAUGCUCAGAGAAGACCAAUCAGAUGCUGGCGUUUACAGACUGGUCUCUCUGCCUGCAGGAAGUUUGAAAGUUUUCAAAUUUUGGAAGAUUUUAAUAAAUGAUUCUUGUCUGGAACAUAAGGGGACAUGUACACCUUGGAAAAUUCACAGCAACAGAGAAUUAGGGGAUUGAAGCAUUCAGUUAAUGGCAGAUAAUUCAAUUUUAAGAAACAAUAUCCUGGGAGAAAUUUAAGAGAGGUGUGCAUGUACACCACAGAAAAUUUUCAGCCAUGAAUUUGGGUGGGACAUUGUGAAGAAAUUAGGAAAAGGUCUGUAGACAGCAGAGAACUGCUGAGAAUUCAGGAUAGAAAAAUUCAUUCUCAGCAGAAAAUCCAGAAGGGUUCCUUGGAAGAAAUAAAGAGAUCUCGAGGUAUGUACAUGGCAGACAAUUUUCAACAGAGAAAUCAGGAGAGAAAAUCUCAGUAGGGUUGCUUUGAAAGAAACGAGGGAGAGGUAUAAUACCCUACAGAAAAUAUUCGAGGAGUAUACAGCAUAGAUAUUCUCCACAAAAAAUGUCUAAAUGUUACAUAUUAAACAUUGUAGACAAAACUUAAUAUCAUGACAAUAAAAAACAUAAGAAAGUGUUACUCUUAGAAAAAUGGAGAAGAUUCUGUCAGGGUUACUGUCCUUGUUUUUUUUAACUUUCCAUUGAUUACAAUGUAUACAAGAUAUAAUGUUGCAAAAAU